rnacentral:lncRNA from 1 species
CCUUUCUUAUCAACUUCAUCAGGCUCAACAUAGAUGCACUCCUUGGCUUCCCUCCACAUCGCCUUGUAAAACGGGGUUCCAUCGAACUGAUAAUAAUCACCCAAUAUUGGCUUGAUUGCCUUUGUGGCCUCCAUUGCAUGAUAAUGUGGCAUGGUUGAGAACAAAUGGUGAGCGACAUGAGUGUCGGUGAUGUUAUGGAAGACCUUGUUCAAGAUCCCAUAGUCUCUGUCAACAGUUGCCAAGGCUCCUCUCAACCAGUCCCAUUCGGAUGAAUCGUAGUGCGGCAAUGAAGGGUGGGUGUGCUGCAAGAAUGUGAUCAAGACCAAAAACGCGUUCACCACCAACAAGGGACCUCCAUAGAAGCACAGGACCCAGGCAAGCCCUUUUGCAACAGCAAGACGGUAAAGCCCGUAGCAGACUGCAAGAACACCAGCAUCCGAAAUGUAAAUCUGCAGACGUUCACGGUCAGAGUAGAUCGGGCCAUAUGGAUGGUAGUGGCAAGCAAAGCCGUCAUAGGGCCUUCCAG